rnacentral:rRNA from 1 species
UACGGGGGGGAGCAAGCGUUGUUCGGAUUUACUGGGCGUAAAGGGCGCGUAGGCGGCCACCGCAAGUCGACUGUGAAAUCUCCGGGCUUAACCCGGAAAGGUCAGCCGAUACUGCGGGGCUAGAGUGCAGAAGGGGCAACUGGAAUUCUCGGUGUAGCGGUGAAAUGCGUAGAUAUCGAGAGGAACACCUGCGGCCGAAGGCGGGUUGCUGGGCUGACACUGACGCUGAGGCGCGAAAGCUAGGGGAGCGAACAGG